GACGAACGCUGGCGGCGUGCUUAACACAUGCAAGUCGAACGGAAAGGCCCUGCUUUUGUGGGGUGCUCGAGUGGCGAACGGGUGAGUAACACGUGAGUAACCUGCCCUUGACUUUGGGAUAACUUCAGGAAACUGGGGCUAAUACCGGAUAGGAGCUCCUGCUGCAUGGUGGGGGUUGGAAAGUUUCGGCGGUUGGGGAUGGACUCGCGGCUUAUCAGCUUGUUGGUGGGGUAGUGGCUUACCAAGGCUUUGACGGGUAGCCGGCCUGAGAGGGUGACCGGCCACAUUGGGACUGAGAUACGGCCCAGACUGCUACGGGAGGCAGCAGUGGGGAACAUUGCACAAUGGGCGGAAGGCUGAUGCAGCAACGCCGCGUGCGGGAUGACGGCCUUCGGGUUGUAAACCGCGUUCGCCUGUGACGAAGCGUGAGUGACGGUAAUGGGUAAAGAAGCACCGGCUAACUACGUG
rnacentral:rRNA from 1 species